GACGAACGCUGGCGGCGUGCUUAACACAUGCAAGUCGAACGGAAAGGCCCUGCUUGCAGGGUCCUCGAGUGGCGAACGGGUGAGUAACACGUGGGUGAUCUGCCCUGCACUUCGGGAUAAGCCUGGGAAACUGGGUCUAAUACCGGAUAGGAGCCAUUUUUAGUGUGAUGGUUGGAAAGUUUUUUCGGUGUAGGAUGAGCUCGCGGCCUAUCAGCUUGUUGGUGGGGUAAUGGCCUACCAAGGCGGCGACGGGUAGCCGGCCUGAGAGGGUGGACGGCCACAUUGGGACUGAGAUACGGCCCAGACUCCUACGGGAGGCAGCAGGGGGGAAUAUUGCACAAUGGGCGCAAUCCUGAUGCAGCGACGCCGCGUGGGGGAUGACGGCCUUCGGGUUGUAAACUCCUUUCGCUAGGGACGAAGCUUUUUGUGACGGUACCUAGAUAAGAAGCACCGGCUAACUACGUG
rnacentral:rRNA from 1 species